rnacentral:rRNA from 1 species
AACGGCCAUACCAUGCUGAAUACACCGGCUCUCGUUAGAUCACCGAAGUCAAGCAUCAUUGGGCGCGGUCAGUACUUGGGUGGGUGACCACCUGGGAACACCGCGUGCCGUUG